UACUGGGCGUAAAGCGAGCGCAGACGGUUACUUAAGCAGGAUGUGAAAUCCCCGGGCUCAACCUGGGAACUGCGUUCUGAACUGGGUGACUAGAGUGUGUCAGAGGGAGGUAGAAUUCCACGUGUAGCAGUGAAAUGCGUAGAGAUGUGGAGGAAUACCGAUGGCGAAGGCAGCCUCCUGGGAUAACACUGACGUUCAUGCUCGAAAGCGUGGGUAGCAAACAGGAUUAGAUACCCUGGUAGUCCACGCCCUAAACGAUGUCAAUUAGCUGUUGGGCAACUUGAUUGCUUAGUAGCGUAGCUAACGCGUGAAAUUGACCGCCUGGGGAGUACGGUCGCAAGAUUAAAACUCAAAGGAAUUGACGGGGACCCGCACAAGCGGUGGAUGAUGUGGAUUAAUUCGAAGCAACGCGAAGAACCUUACCAGGUCUUGACAUCCCUCUGACCGCUCUAGAGAUAGAGUUUUCCUUCGGGACAGAGGUGACAGGUGGUGCAUGGUUGUCGUCAGCUCGUGUCGUGAGAAG
rnacentral:rRNA from 1 species